rnacentral:rRNA from 1 species
UACGAAGGGGGCUAGCGUUGCUCGGAAUCACUGGGCGUAAAGGGCGCGUAGGCGGCCUUCUAAGUCGGACGUGAAAUCCCUCGGCUUAACCGAGGAACUGCGUCCGAUACUGAAAGGCUUGAAUCCGGGAGAGGGAUGUGGAAUUCCAGGUGUAGCGGUGAAAUGCGUAGAUAUUCGGAGGAACACCAGUGGCGAAGGCGGCUCACUGGUCCGGUACUGACGCUGAGGUGCGAAAGCGUGGGGAGCAAACAGG